UACGUAGGGUGCGAGCGUUGUCCGGAAUUAUUGGGCGUAAAGAGCUUGUAGGCGGUUUGUCGCGUCUGCCGUGAAAAUCCGGGGCUCAACCCCGGACUUGCGGUGGGUACGGGCAGACUAGAGUGUGGUAGGGGAGACUGGAAUUCCCGGUGUAGCGGUGAAAUGCGCAGAUAUCGGGAGGAACACCGGUGGCGAAGGCGGUUCUCUGGGCCUUACCUGACGCUGAGGAGCGAAAGCGUGGGGAGCGAACAGG
rnacentral:rRNA from 1 species